UAGGGAAUUUUUCACAAUGAGCGAAAGCUUGAUGGAGCAAUGCCGCGUGAACGAUGAAGGUCUUUAAGAUUGUAAAGUUCUUUUAUUUGGGAAGAAUGACUUUAGCAGGUAAUGGCUAGAGUUUGACUGUACCAUUUUGAAUAAGUGACGACUAACUAUGUGCCAGCAGUCGCGGUAAUACAUAGGUCGCAAGCGUUAUCCGGAUUUAUUGGGCGUAAAGCAAGCGCAGGCGGAUUGAAAAGUCUGGUGUUAAAGGCAGCUGCUUAACAGUUGUACGCAUUGGAAACUAUUAAUCUAGAGUGUGGUAGGGAGUUUUGGAAUUUCAUGUGGAGCGGUGAAAUGCGUAGAUAUAUGAAGGAACACCAGUGGCGAAGGCGAAAACUUAGGCCAUUACUGACGCUUAGGCUUGAAAGUGUGGGGAGCAAAUAGGAUUAAAUACCCUAGUAGUCCACACCGUAACGAUAGAUACUAGCUGUCGGGGCGAUCCCCUCGGUAGUGAAGUUAACACAUUAAGUAUCUCGCCUGGGUAGUACAUUCGCAAGAAUG
rnacentral:rRNA from 1 species